UACGUAGGGGGCUAGCGUUGUCCGGAAUCAUUGGGCGUAAAGAGCGUGUAGGCGGCUCGGUAAAUCCGCUCUGAAAGCCCGGGGCUCAACCCCGGGAGGCGGGCGGAUACUGUCGAGCUAGAGUCCGGAAGAGGCGAGUGGAAUUCCUGGUGUAGCGGUGAAAUGCGUAGAUAUUGGGAGGAACACCAGUGGCGAAGGCGGCUCACUGGACCGGAACUGACGCUGAGGCGCGAAAGCGUGGGGAGCAAACGGG
rnacentral:rRNA from 1 species